UACGGAGGGGGCUAGCGUUGUUCGGAAUUACUGGGCGUAAAGCGCGCGUAGGCGGUUUUUCAAGUCAGAGGUGAAAGCCCGGAGCUCAACUCCGGAAUAGCCUUUGAAACUGGAUAACUUGAGUCUUGGAGAGGCGAGUGGAAUUCCGAGUGUAGAGGUGAAAUUCGUAGAUAUUCGGAAGAACACCAGUGGCGAAGGCGACUCGCUGGACAAGUACUGACGCUGAGGUGCGAAAGCGUGGGGAGCAAAC
rnacentral:rRNA from 1 species